rnacentral:rRNA from 1 species
UACGUAGGGGGGCAAGCGUUGUCCGGAAUCAUUGGGCGUAAAGAGCGUGUAGGCGGCUCGAUAAGUCUGCUGUGAAAGUCCAGGGCUCAACCCUGGAAGGCCGGUGGAAACUGUCGGGCUAGAGUCCGGAAGAGGAAAGUGGAAUUCCUGGUGUAGCGGUGAAAAUGCGCAGAUAUCAGGAAGAACACCAAUGGCGAAAGCAGCUUUCUGGGACGGUACUGACGCUGAGACGCGAAAGCGUGGGGAGCGAACAGG